rnacentral:misc_RNA from 1 species
GAGUUUAUUUGAAGUAGAUAUUUUUGGAUAUUGUUAUAAAAUAAUUUAGUGAAUUUAUUAUUGUUUAUUUGAAUUUGUGGUUUAUUAUGUUUUAAUUUUUUAUAUUUAGAAAUGAGGUUGAUGAGUUUUAUAUUUGAAAAGUUUUUAUUAUUAUUUAGUUUUUUGAUAGUUUUAAGUUAGAGUUGUUUUUUUUUAUUUAUUUUUAUAUAAUUAAUAAAUGUUGAAAUGAAUUUUAAGUGGAGAUUGUUUAGUGAUUUUAAA